rnacentral:rRNA from 1 species
UACGUAGGGUGCAAGCGUUAAUCGGAAUUACUGGGCGUAAAGCGUGCGCAGGCGGUUCUAUAAGACAGGUGUGAAAUCCCCGGGCUUAACCUGGGAACUGCAUUUGUGACUGCAUCGCUGGAGUGCGGCAGAGGGGGAUGGAAUUCCGCGUGUAGCAGUGAAAUGCGUAGAUAUGCGGAGGAACACCGAUGGCGAAGGCAAUCCCCUGGGCCUGCACUGACGCUCAUGCACGAAAGCGUGGGGAGCAAACAGG